GACGAACGCUGGCGGCGUGCUUAACACAUGCAAGUCGAACGGAAAGGCCCUGCUUUUGUGGGGUGCUCGAGCGGCGAACGGGUGAGUAACACGUGAGUAACCUGCCCUUGACUUUGGGAUAACUUCAGGAAACUGGGGCUAAUACCGGAUAGGAGCUCCUGCUGCAUGGUGGGGGUUGGAAAGUUUCGGCGGUUGGGGAUGGCCUCGCGGCUUACCGCCUUGUUGGUGGGGUAGUGGCUUACCACGGCUUUGACGGGUAGCCGGCCUGAGAGGGUGACCGGCCACAUUGGGACUGAGAUACGGCCCAGACUCCUACGGGAGGCAGCAGGGGGGAAUAUUGCACAAUGGGCGGAAGCCUGAUGCAGCAACGCCGCGUGCGGGAUGACGGCCUUCGGGUUGUAAACCGCUUUCGCCUGUGACGAAGCGUGAGUGACGGUAAUGGGUAAAGAAGCACCGGCUAACUACGUG
rnacentral:rRNA from 1 species